UAGAAUUCCACGUGUAGCGGUGAAAUGCGUAGAGAUGUGGAGGAAUACCGGUGGCGAAGGCGGCCUUCUGGACAGAUACUGACGCUGAGAUGCGAAAGCGUGGGGAGCAAACAGGAUUAGAUACCCUGGUAGUCCACGCUGUAAACGAUGUCGAUUUGGAGUUUGUUGCCUAGAGUGAUGGGCUCCGAAGCUAACGCGAUAAAUCGACCGCCUGGGGAGUACGGCCGCAAGGUUAAAACUCAAAUGAAUUGACGGGGGCCCGCACAAGCGGUGGAGCAUGUGGUUUAAUUCGAUGCAACGCGAAGAACCUUACCUGGUCUUGACAUCCACAGAAUCUUGCAGAGAUGCGAGGGUGCCUUCGGGAACUGUGAGACAGGUGCUGCAUGGCUGUCGUCAGCUCGUGUUGUGAAAUGUUGGGUUAGGUCCCGCAACGAGCGCAACCCUUAUCCUUUGUUGCCAUUGGUUCGGCCGGGAACUCAAAGGAGACUGCCGUUGAUAAAGCGGAGGAAGGUGGGGACGACGUCAAGUCAUCAUGGCCCUUACGACCAGGGCUACACACGUGCUACAAUGGCGUAUACAAAGGGAGGCGACCUCGCGAGAGCAAGCGGACCUCAUAAAGUACGUCUAAGUCCGGAUUGGAGUCUGCAACUCGACUCCAUGAAGUCGGAAUCGCUAGUAAUCGUGAAUCAGAAUGU
rnacentral:rRNA from 1 species